AACGCUAGCUACAGGCUUAACACAUGCAAGUCGAGGGGCAGCAUAAAAGUAGCAAUACUUUGGUGGCGACCGGCGCACGGGUGAGUAACGCGUAUGCAACCUACCUAUCAGAGGGGAAUAACCCGGCGAAAGUCGGACUAAUACCGCAUAAAACAGGGGCACCGCAUGGUGAUAUUUGUUAAAGAAAUUCGCUGAUAGAUGGGCAUGCGUUCCAUUAGGUAGUUGGAGAGGUAACGGCUCACCAAGCCCACGAUGGAUAGGGGAACUGAGAGGUUGGUCCCCCACACUGGUACUGAGACACGGACCAGACUCCUACGGGAGGCAGCAGUGAGGAAUAUUGGUCAAUGGGCGAGAGCCUGAACCAGCCAAGUCGCGUGAAGGAAGAAGGAUCUAUGGUUCGUAAACUUCUUUUGCAGGGGAAUAAAGUGCAGGACGUGUCCUGUUUUGUAUGUACCCUGAGAAUAAGGAUCGGCUAACUCCGUGCCAGCAGCCGCGGUAAUACGGAGGAUCCGAGCGUUAUCCGGAUUUAUUGGGUUUAAAGGGUGCGUAGGUGGUUUAAUAAGUCAGCGGUGAAAGUUUGCAGCUUAACUGUAAAAAUGCCGUUGAAACUGUUAGACUUGAGUGUAAAUGAGGUAGGCGGAAUGCGUGGUGUAGCGGUGAAAUGCAUAGAUAUCACGAAGAACUCCGAUUG
rnacentral:rRNA from 1 species